rnacentral:ncRNA from 1 species
UUAUGUGUAUCUUGUUUUAUUGUUAGUCUUAAUUUGAUGAUUAUUUAAUAUAUUUUAUUUUAGUAUAAAAUUUUUCUUUGUCCUUUUAGUUACAUGCACUUUUAAUUUUUAAUAUUUGCUUGCAGUAAUUAUAAUUAAAUAUUAAAUAAAUUUAGAUUUAGAAAUUGGAUUUAAGCUUGGCCAAAAUUGUGCCAGCAGCCGCGGUUAUACAAUUAAGUUGCGAAAAAUUUAAAAUUGAUCUAAUUAUUUUGUAUUUAUAACUCUUUAAUUAAUAUUAUAAGGUAAAAUUUUAAUUUUAAUGUUUAGUUAAUUUAUUUGUUUAGGAAAUUUACUUUAAAAACUAGGAUUAGAUACCCUUUUAUUGUUUAUGUUAAUUUAAUGGAGUAUUAAUAGUUAUGAUCUUGAAACUCAAAAAAUUUGGCGGUAUUUUAUCUUACUAGAGGAACUUGUUUAGUUAUUGAUGAUCCACAACUAAUCUUUACUUUUUUAAUAAUAUUUGUAUACCGCCGUCAUGAAUAUAUUUAUAAAUUAAUUUCUUUUAAUUUUAUGAAUUAUAUGUUAGGUCAAGGUGCAGUUUAUAAAAGUUAAAAUGAGUUACCAUAAAAAAGAUGAAUGAAACAUGUCUGUAAAUUAAAAAUAAGAAAAAGGAUUUAGUAGUAAUUUUAAUUAAUAGUAAUUUUAUGAAUAGAGAUUCUAAAAUAUGUACACAUUGCCCGUCGCUCUUAUUUAAGGUAAGAUAAGUCGUAACAUAGUAGUCGUACCGGAAGGUGUGUCUGGAACUAAG